UCGAACGUCCCCGAGCGCACACGGCGUAGAGGAGAGUACAGCGCGCGAGUGUGUGGAAGGAAGAUAACGGUUUCUAUUCGCCCCCCUCUCCGAGUCCGACAGCAAGAACAAACCAAAAGCUGAAUUUUAAAGGGGGGGGUUCACACAGUCUUUACCCAUAAGGAGGAGCGAAGCGAGGGUUUGGAGCCGCAAGUUUUUGUUUUGUUUUUUUAUCUCCCCCCCCCCUUCUCUUUUUUCGUUUUUCUUUUCUCCUUUUCUCGAAAACGAGGAUUUUGUGUUUCCGCGGAGGUUUUGUUGUUAUUGUUGUUGUAUCCGCUCCUCGCCGAAAAGAUGAUGGUCGGAGAGGUCGAAGUGAAGGAGCGACCGAGGCCGAGUCCCGACUAUUUGAUGCAAUUGUUAAACGAGAAGAAACUGAUGACCAGUUUGCCAAACCUAUGCGGCAUUUUCACACACCUUGAGAGGCUUCUGGAUGAAGAGAUCAAUAGAGUACGUAAGGACAUGUACAGCGACACAGUGAAUGGCCUUGUGGACAGACACCCGCUGGAGCUGCCUGAGCCCAUGGGACCCAUCGUCCACCUGCAAGAGAAACUGUUUGUGCCUGUCAAAGAAUAUCCUGAUUAUAACUUUGUUGGAAGGAUUCUUGGCCCUCGUGGACUAACAGCCAAGCAGUUAGAAGCAGAGACGGGAUGCAAAAUCAUGGUCCGAGGCAAGAGCUCAAUGAGAGACAAAAAGAAGGAGGAGCAAAACAGAGGGAAGCCAAACUGGGAACACCUAAAUGAAGACCUUCAUGUCCUGAUCACAGUGGAAGACACACAAGCCAGAGCAGAGAUCAAGAUGAGGAGAGCAGUGGAAGAGGUCAAGAAGCUCCUCGUACCUGCUGCGGAGGGAGAAGACAAUUUGAAGAAGAUGCAGCUGAUGGAGUUGGCGAUUCUCAAUGGGACAUACAGAGACAACAAUAUCAAAACGCCCACCCUUGCGUUCUCUCUUGCAGCAGCGGCGGCAGCAGCUGCUCAGGGCCCCCGUCUCAUAGCGGCCCCUACAGGUCAGGUGUUGCCUCCCCCGGCACUCCGGCCACCAACACCAGCCGGGGCACCCAUCAUGAACCUCAUCCGGCCCACACAGAUGGCUGCUAUGCUGCCUAAUGGAACGCCCACCCUGGUGCCUCCCACACCGGAUGGUGGGCUUAUCUACACCACCCCUUACGAGUACCCUUACGCCCUGGCACCCACCUCCCUGCUGGAGUACCCCAUUGAGCACAGUGGGGUUCUAGGUAAGAGAGCCUGGGGAAGCAUGGGUGCAGCAGGUACAGCGGCCAGCUUUAGCCAUCCUGGACAGGAGGCCAGCUGUUUUACCCCGGAGCUGGGGUGUUGGAUGCGGCUUCCCUGAGCCACAGUCAGGACUUAUUGAAAGGUGCAAUGGCUACUAAAGUGAGACGGCAUGACACGCGGGUCCAUCCUUACCAAAGGAUUGUGACCGCUGACAGAGCCGCCACCGGCAACUAACACAUGACCUUCUGACCUCUGAACUCUUCACCCAAUGACGAGCCGCCCCAAGCCUGCCUGCUGAUCAGUUAACUGGUAAUGCCUUUGCUAGCCUCUCGGACGCAAGUGGAGAAGAAAGAGAGAGGCGCCAGCCCAAACAUUUACCCUAACACGCUCUGACAAAAAAAAACAAAAAAAAAAAGAGGACAGAAAGAAAAAAACAGAAAACGCAGAAUCUUCACAGAAACACAACAAAACCCAACAUGUUGUGUAAUAUUCAUUACCCCCC